CCUCCAGUUCUUGACGCUGCGGUGCCUGCCCGUGGCCCGCCUGCGUGUUUGUGGAGGGAGAGCGACCUCCGCCAUGUCUUCGGUGCCAGGAAGCCGCCGUCUUCUGGUCCUAUCCUCUUUGGCCGAGACACCG